ensembl:lncRNA
AUAAACUUCUCUGUGCUUGAGCCAUGUGUUUUGGAUCCAUUUGUCCCAUGGUCAUUUUGUAACACUGCCUACCCUAAUUACCCUAGUGGUCAUUCCUGAAAUUGACUAUCGUGGUCAGAUUGACUCCAGAAUCAGAAGUUGUCAUGUAAUGUACCAACAAUUAAUUUAAAACAUUGGGCUGAGCAAACUGCCCUGGCAAGAGGCCACCAGAAAUUCCAGUUGCAGAAGACUGUAAUCUUCCUUCACAAAAAGGCCUGGAAAGUGCCGCUGCUGCUAAGUCGCUUCCGUUGUGUCCGACUCUGUGCGACCCCAUAGACCGCAGCCCACCAGGCUCCUCCGUCCUUGGGAUUCUCCAGGCAAGAACACUGGAGUGGGUUGCCAGUUCCUUCUCCAAUGCAUGAAAGUGAAAAGUGAGAGUGAAGUCGCUCAGUCUUGUCCGACUCUUCGCGACCGCGUGGACUGCAGCCUACCAGGCUCCUCCGUCCAUGGGAUUUUCCAGGCAAGAGUAUUGGAGUGGGGUGCCAUUGCCUUCUCCAAUGCCCUAUUGCUCUUAAACAUCUCUAACCCUUACUCAAGAAAAGGGCAAAGGUUAAGUAAAAAUGUUUGGCAUAGUCGAUUUCUUAAGAAUAAUAAAAAUGCAUACUCACACUAUGGAUAAACUUUUUAAAGUAUGUUCUGCCUUAUUUUCUGAGGUAUAAAAAUAUUUUAA